AGCGAAUGUUGAUGCGGGGCUAUGACCGGACCAAUAAAAGAGAGGAGAAGCAGGCCAUCAUCAGGGCUCUCCUCUUGGAAUUGUCCCAAAAAUUCUAUGAGUGAAAGAUUAUGCCCAGGGGUUCCCGUUCCAUCGAUCAAACACCGAAGAGCCAAAAAGGAUCUUAAUGUAGUGAAGGCCUCCACGGAUGAGGAUUGAGGAAGAGUCGGAGGAGCAGGCGGAUGGAGAGCAGGCCUCACCCUCCGAUAAUGGAGUGGCCCCUCCCCCACCUGAUGUGGGCGAAAUGUUGGAGGUAGAGGGAGAGCAGCCCGGAACCUCCAAGAAUGUAGCAGAUCCUCAACCACCUGAUGUGGGCGAAAUGUUGGAGGAACAGGCUGAACCUGAGCCCGGACCCUCCCAGCCAUGGAUGAGGAGGUCUACACCACCCACCAGGAGGAAAUGCAGAAAAACGGCUGGCCCAGAUGAAGCGUAACCACUGUAAAAUGAUGCAUGAAAUAGACAAGAUGCUAAUGAGGGUCAACCAGAAGGUUAACCACCUGAAUAAACAGCACCACCUUCAAGGGAGGAAGGA